rnacentral:rRNA from 1 species
GAUCCUGGCUCAGGAUGAACGCUAGCUACAGGCUUAACACAUGCAAGUCGAGGGGCAGCAUGAACUUAGCUUGCUAAGUUUGAUGGCGACCGGCGCACGGGUGAGUAACACGUAUCCAACCUGCCGUCUACUCUUGGACAGCCUUCUGAAAGGAAGAUUAAUACAAGAUGGCAUCAUGAGUCCGCAUGUUCACAUGAUUAAAGGUAUUCCGGUGGACGAUGGGG